rnacentral:tRNA from 1 species
AACCCGGUAGUGUAAUCGGUAACACAACAGAUUUUGGUUCUGUUUUUCCAGGUUCGAGUCCUGGCCGGGUUA